AAUAGAAACAGAAUAGCAUGGACGAAACAGAGAAGGAAAGAAGGAAAGAAAGAAAAGAGAAAAUUGAGGUUUUGAGGUUCUAAGCUCAUUUGCUAAUGUCGUGCAAGAGUCAUUGUCCGAGAAAGGAAAGGAGAAGGUGGACAAGGAUUGACUUGAGAGAAAUUUCAGUUAGUAGAAAACAGUGUUCGGUCCAGCAUCCGGAGUAAUCCCAACCUCAGAAAAAUUUAGCGAUGUAUUUUUCUUUUGAUAACGUGGCAUGUACCUAAGUAAUGUUUAUACCUAAGUGAUGUAUAGGGAUUAGUCAAUUUGAAUGUUUGUAUCUAUGAUAUUGCUAAAGGAAGAUGUGUGAGUAUGUGAUAAUGUUUGGCUUUUAAAAUGGUUAAGUAUGAAUAUGUUUGGUAAUAUGUAUGUUUAGAUGAUAAAUCAUGCAUGGAAAUCAUGAAAGAGUAAAAA